rnacentral:rRNA from 1 species
UACGGAGGAUCCGAGCGUUAUCCGGAUUUAUUGGGUUUAAAGGGUGCGUAGGCGGCCCGUUAAGUCAGGGGUGAAAGACGGUAGCUCAACUAUCGCAGUGCCCUUGAUACUGGCGGGCUUGAAUGGACUAGGGGUAGGCGGAAUGAGACAAGUAGCGGUGAAAUGCGUAGAUAUGUCUCAGAAGACCGAUUGCGAAGGCAGCUUACUGUGGUACUAUUGACGCUGAGGCACGAAAGCGUGGGGAUCGAACAGG